rnacentral:rRNA from 1 species
GACGAACGCUGGCGGCGUGCUUAACACAUGCAAGUCGAACGAUGAACCCGGAGCUUGCUCCGGUGGAUUAGUGGCGAACGGGUGAGUAACACGUGAGUAACCUGCCCUUGACUCUGGGAUAACUGCGGGAAACUGUAGCUAAUACCGGAUACGACCCUCGGCGGCAUCGCCAGGGGGUGGAAAGAAUUUCGGUCAAGGAUGGACUCGCGGCCUAUCAGCUAGUUGGUGAGGUAACGGCUCACCAAGGCGACGACGGGUAGCCGGCCUGAGAGGGUGAACGGCCACACUGGGACUGAGACACGGCCCAGACUCCUACGGGAGGCAGCAGUGGGGAAUAUAGCGCAAUGGACGAAAGUCUGACGCAGCGACGCCUCGUGAGGGAUGACGGCCUUCGGGUUGUAAACCUCUUUUAGUAGGGAAGAAGCGAAAGUGACGGUACCUGCAGAAAAAGCACCGGCUAACUACGUGCCAGCCGCCGCGGUAA